UUCAUUCUACCAUUUCCAACGAGUCUCCGAUUACAGAAGGAGAAGGAAACGUGACCUAGUUGAGAUAAAGAACAUCUAAGGUUCUCAAAGAUUGCUAUGAUUAAGACGUGUGUCCUCCAUCAUGCGUCUCAUAAGCUGCACAGUUGUGGAAGUCUAGAAACAACAUUAAGGGUAGAUUAGAAAUGUUACCAUGUAAAUAUUUUCCUUUUGCAAUUAUUUAUUUUACAAUUCUGUUAGAGUUUGUUAGCGUAGAAAGAUGCCUUGUCAGGCAAUUUUACUUGUAUAUAAAGAGCACACACUGUACAGAUGAUAUAUAGAAUGAUACAGAAAGAAAAUUCCCACGAUGAUUUCUCCUAAAUCCUUCAUGGUAUCAGAGCAAUUCUGAGAUCCAGUGUAUUUUUUUUCUCUUUUCUUCUUCUUGUCUUUUUCUUCUUCUUCUUUGCCUCACUAUCUACAUCUGAACAAUGGGAGAUGAAACUCCAGUUACACCUUCAGCUAUUUCUAAGGAUGAUGGCACUGGUUCUUCAGCUCCUACCAUUGCUCAACAGAUUGAUAUCUCCCAUCCUUACUUUCUUACCCCAUCUGAUAGCCCAGGGAUGAACUUGAUCAACACCAUUUUUGAUGGCACAAGUUAUGGGAAUUUGAAGAGGGGCAUCUUAAUUGCUUUGUCAGCCAAAAACAAGCUCGGUUUCAUCACUGGAGCCUGUCCUCCACCCUUUUCUCAGUCUGCUCUACUCACUCAAUGGAAGAGAUGCAACGACAUGGUACUUUCUUGGUUGCUCAACUCUGUUAGCAAGGAAAUUGCAGAAAGUGUCAUCUACUCUCAAACUGCUGAGGAACUCUGGAAAGAGCUGGAGCAAAGGUAUGGACAAGCCGAUGGCACAAAAUUGUUUCAGCUACAGAGAGAGUUAAAUACAAUCAGGGAACUUCUGAUGUUGCCAGCUAUUUUAACAAGCUCAAAAGGAUUUAGGAUCAAAUGAAGGUGCUUAAUACUUUUAUGAUUUGUAGUUGUGAUUGUAAGUGUGGUGCUAAAACUCACAACCAUAAGGUGAAUGAAGACCAAAAAUUAAUUCGAUUUCUGUUGGGACUGAAUGAAGCCUACAAUGGAGUGAGAGGUAACAUUCUAAUGAUGAAACCCUUACCUUUUACUGCUCAAGCCUAUUCCAUUGUAUUACAUGAUGAGUCACAAAGAGAAAUUCAGUCUGAUACUUCCUUUUCCGUUGAGUCUUCUGCUUUUAUGGUUUCUGGGAAAAAAUGGGCUCCUCAGAAACAUCAUGAAGGAGCCAAAGUUGGUAUUCCAAACUCAGGUGCUGAUGGAAAAAGGAGUGAUCUCUUCUGCAACUACUGCAAAAAAUUUGGGCAUGUCAAGGAAGGUUGCUAUAAGUUAAUAGGAUACCCACCACAUUUUAAGUUUAACAGGCAGAAACAGGGUGCAUAUGCUACUCCUAAUGCAAAUUCAGCCAGUUGUACACCUGAACUCACCACAGGAAUUUCAGGAAAUGGUGUUUCCUCUCUUGUUCAGUCUCAUGGAUUUUCUAAAGAGCAAGUCAAGCAGUUGAUUAGCAUGUUUCAAUCUAUACAGAAUGGAGGAUCCACUUCAAACUCUGCUGCCUCACCCAGUGCUAAUCUAGCUGGUAUACACUUUGCUUGUCACUUCUUUACCUCUUUGUUUUCUCUGCUCACUCCCAUUCCUUGGAUCAUAGAUUCAGGAGCAUCUCAACAUAUGACAUAUCAAAAACACCUGUUACACAAUAUAACAGUUCUGUCACCACCAAUUUUGGUCAGCCUCCCCAAUUCCUCUAAAGUAAAAGUACAUUAUAUAAGAAGUAUAUUCUUAACACCUAAAUUUGAACUACACCAUGUGUUAUUUGUUCCUUGUUUCAGUAGCAAUUUGUUAUCAGUCUAUCAAUUGUGCUACCAAUUUAAUUGUGAUCUUCUUUUUAACAAGUUUGGUUGUGCUAUACAGGUCCCUUCAAAGAAGAGGGAUCAGAUUUUUGGUAAAGCUGCAUCAGGGCUCUAUGUGCUGAAGGAUAACACUCGCCAGUUGGAAUCUCGAUCGAUCAAGCCUCAUACACCAGUCUCUUCUCUUUCUAAUGUCGCGUCCAAGUCUUGUAGUCCAAUGCCUUCUUCUAAGUAUGAGUCAGUUUGUCCAAAGUCUUUGUAUCCAGGGUCUGUCCAUCCUGUUUAUCAAGGACAAUCAAAUGACAUUAUGAAUAAAAUUGUUUCUAUUUCCCAUGUUUCUGUUAUGGAUAAACUAUGGCAUUCAAGAUUAGGACACUUACCUUUUACAGCUAUAAAGCAUAUUAAAGACAUUCCUAUUACUUUUUUAGAUAAAGAAGACUGCCAUUGCACAAUUUGCCCUAUGGCAAGACAGUCGAAACUGCCUUUUUAUCCUAGUAAAAUCACCUCAAACCACUGUUUUGAUCUAAUACAUAUUGACAUCUGGGGGCUUUAUAAAACUCUUAUUUAUAAAGGUGAGAGAUAUUUCCUUACAAUUGUUGAUGACUUUUCUAGGAGCACCUGGACUUAUCUUCUUGCCACUAAGUCUAAUGCUUUUACCACAUUAAAACACUUUCUUGCCCUUGUUGAAAGACAGUUCUCUACUAAAGUUAAGGUGAUUAGGUCUGAUAAUGCCUAUGAGCUUGGGACAGGACUUAUACCUAAAGAUUUCUUUUAUUCUCAAGGAAUACUACACCAAACCAGUUGUGUCUCUACCCCACAACAAAAUAGGGUAGUUGAGCGCAAACACAUGCAUCUUUUGGAAACUUGUAGGGCCCUUCUCUUUCAAUCUAAUUUACCUAAGAAAUUUUGGGGUGAAUGCUUGCUGACUGCUACCUUUCUUAUUAAUAGAUUUCCUUCUCGAGUGCUACAUCACAAAACUCCCUAUGAAAUUUUUUUGGUUCUUCUCCUGCCUACUCUUCUUUAAAGGUUUUUGGAUGCUUAUGCUUUGCUUCUACUCUUUCCCAUGGUAGAGAUAAACUAGCACCUAGAGCAAUUCCAGGAGUGUUUUUAGGGUAUCCUUUUGGUAAAAAAGGAUAUAAGAUUCUCAAUUUACAAACAAACAAUAUUUUUGUUUCCAGGGAUGUCAAGUUUGUCGAAACUAUUUUUCCAUUUUCUUUCCCUGCACCAAUGACUAAGUUGUUUCCUGAUUCUUUUCCCAAAUCUGUUCUUCCCACACAUAAUCCUAUUCCUACUUCAAAGGUUCAGUCCCCGUUCACUACACAUUCAACCACUAGUCCUCAUUCCCUUAUUAGUCCUACUUCUCCUAAUGGCGAUGCUUCCUCUCCUACUGGGCCACAUACUCCUACAUCACCAAUUUUUUUAUACCCAUCUCCACCUGCAGGUACACAAGACUCUUUAGAACCAGUGUUAUCCUCAUCACAUGGACCUGAGCUGUGCAAAUCCAUAAGAGUUCACAAUGCCCCUAAGUAUCUCUCCGAUUAUCUCUGCAAUAAUGCUUUUUCUAUUUCUCCUAAUCCUCAUUUCCUUCCAUUCCAUUCCUUUUGUUUCUCUGCCUUAACUAAAGAUAACCAGGGGCUCAUUUCUUCUAUAUGUCACAUUAAUGAACCUCAAACCUAUCACCAAGCAGCUGCUCAUCCUGGAUGGCAAGAUGCCAUGGUAAAGGAGUUUGAGGCAUUGGCGUCUAAUCAUACUUGGGAUAUUGUCGAACUGCCUGAAGGGAAGAAGGCAUUGCCCUGCAAGUGGGUUUACAAAGUUAAGCUGAAAUCUGAUGGGACUUUGGAGUGACUGAAAGCGAGAUUGGUAAUUCGAGGGGACACACAAAGGGAAGGAAUUGACUAUACUGAUACCUUCUCUCUGGUUGUGAAAAUAACAACAAUCCGCUGCAUUUUGUCUAUUGUUGUGAAAAGAAAUUAGGAUUUGUUUCAACUUGACGUCAAUAACGCCUUCCUCCAUGGUGAAUUAGAUGAAGAAGUAUAUAUGAGGUUCCCACCUGGACUAUCUCCUCCAUCUCCUUCUCAUGUUUGUCGACUUAGAAAAUCAUUGUACGGCCUCAAACAAGCUUCUCAUCAGUGGUAUGCAUGUUUGUCUUCUGCUUUGGGAACCAGAGGUUUCACUUCCUUCCUUAAUGACUACUCCCUUUUCUUCAAAGUAUCUGGGGAUUUGAUAACCAUUCUUGCGGUUUACGUGGAUGAUGUCUUGAUCACUGGUAAUAAUCAAGCAGAAAUCAAUGAGAUCUAACAGUUUCUUGACAUGGAAUUUAAAAUAAAGGAUUUGGGGUUGGCACAUUAUUUCUUGGGUUUAGAAUUGAUCAGGGAAUCAGGAGAUUUAAUUGUCACACAAAGAAAGUUUGCUUUAGAGUUACUUACAGAUUUUGAUUGCUUGGAUGUUCGACCAGCUUCUUCUCCAUUGGAUCCUACCAUUAAGCUUUCUUCCAGUUGUGGUGAACCUCUCCCUGAUCCGACUGUUUACCGACGUCUUUUGGGAAAACUGAAUUUUUUAACUAGCACACGUCCAGACCUUUAUUUUGCUGUGCAAACUCUCAGUCAACAUAUGCAAUCUCCCUAUACUGGACAUUACCAAGCAGCAUUGCAUGUUUUGCGUUACAUUUCCAGGGAUCCAGGUCUUGGUUUAUUCAUGUCUUCUGAACCUUCAUUUCAACUCUUAGCUUUCAGCGAUGUCGACUCGGCUUCUUGCUCCAAUACACGUCGUUCAGUGAGUGGUUUUUUCUUAAGUCUUGGUGGUUGCCCCAUUUCUUGGAAAUCUAAGAAGCAGCAGGUAGUUGCUCUUUCUUCUGCAGAAGCUGAAUACCGUUCAAUGCGCCGAUUAGCUGCUGAAAUAACUUGGGUGGUCCGAUUGUUGCACGACCUAUCUGUUGUGCCCUCUUUGCCGGUUCCUCUUCAUUGCGAUAACCAAGCAGCCAUCCGCAUAGCAAAAAAUCCCAUCUUUCAUGAACGGACCAAGAAUAUUGAGCUUGAUUGUCACUUCGUUCGUGAAAAACUUCUGGAUGGAUUGAUUUCUUUGUCUUUUGUUCCUUCUUCUUCUCAAAUCGCCGAUCUUUUUACAAAAGCACUAGUUGGUCCUUUCCAUAGAUCUUUUCUGGGCAAGCUUGGAGUCCGAUCACCGAUCUCCAGCUUGAAGGGGGGUGUUGCCGGACAAAAUCUUCAUUCUACAUUUCCGACGAGUCUCCGAUUACAGAAGGAGAAGGAGACGUGACCUAGUUGAGAGAAAGAACAUCUAAGGUUCUCAAAGAUUGCUAUGAUUAAGACGUGUGUCC
rnacentral:lncRNA from 1 species